CUUUCUUCACUCAAGAUGGGAUAUUCAAAGAUGUUGUCACUGUGAUAUUUCUAAGUCUCAAAGGAAUGGUUUGUUCCUUUAUCAAGGCACAUAGUCCAACCAGGCCUGGUCAUGGUUACUGAGAUGGGAGGUAGUGUGACUAUCACUUGCUUUUGGCCGCUUGGUUCAGGCAGACUGUUGGACAGAGACCCCUUCUCAUGGCAUCAUCACUUUUCAUUGGCCAAGAAGGUUUUUACUACAACAGCUUUACCAAGGACUGCACUGGGACUAAACGUCUGAUUGUGAAGAGAGGAGUUGACAGCUUUAACCCGACCAUCUCUAAGACACAGUUAGGGGACUGAGCUACAUACUGAUGUGUUGCUAUUGAAGUGGGCAAAGUCACAUUUGGAGGAGCUGUUUUGAUUGUCAAAGAUUUAGAGUCCAACAGCAUGUCUGGUAAUGGGACCAAGCUGGAUGUUGAGUGUGGUCACUCUGAUGAUCAACAGAUGGGAAUCCUGGUCCUUCUCUCCAUCACAAAAACUGGAGUUCCCCUCUGCUGUCUGACCAUCUUCAUCAUCAUCUACACCACCAUCCAAACGUUUGGAAUGGUUGGUGGGGAUCCAAACAAUAAUCAUGUCAUAUCAUUUAGUGUUUUGUGAUGUUAUUGCGGAUGGUAUAACAACAUAACUGUAACUCUGAACGUGUACACAUCCUAGU